rnacentral:rRNA from 1 species
GGAGUUAGCCGGUGCUUCUUCUGUGAGUGAUGUCCUUCCUGCCGGCUAUUAACCCGCAGGCCUUCUUCCUCACUGAAAGUGCUUUACAACCCGAAGGCCUUCUUCACACACGCGGCAUGGCUGGAUCAGGGUUGCCCCCAUUGUCCAAUAUUCCCCACUGCUGCCUCCCGUAGGAGUCUGGGCCGUGUCUCAGUCCCAGUGUGGCUGAUCAUCCUCUCAGACCAGCUACGGAUCGUCGCCUUGGUGAGCCGUUACCUCACCAACCAGCUAAUCCGACAUAGGCUCAUCCGAUAGCGCGAGGCCCGAAGGUCCCCCGCUUUCCCCCGUAGGGCGUAUGCGGUAUUAGCCUGGGUUUCCCCCAGGUUAUCCCCCACUACCGGGCAGAUUCCUAUGCAUUACUCACCCGUCCGCCGCUCGCCACCAGGGAGCAAGCUCCCCGUGCUGCCGCUCGACUUGCAUGUGUUAGGCCUGCCGCCAGCGUUCAAUCUGAGCCAGAUCAAACUCUGA